UAGAAUAUGGUGUAAUUGGUAGCACGGAGAGUUUUGAGUUCUCAAGUUUAGGUUCAAAUCCUUAAAUUCUAG
rnacentral:tRNA from 1 species